AUUGAACGCUGGCGGCAUGCCCUACACAUGCAAGUCGAACGGCAGCAUGAUCUAGCUUGCUCGAUUGAUGGCGAGUGGCGAACGGGUGAGUAAUACAUCGGAACGUGCCCUGUAGUGGGGGAUAACUAGUCGAAAGAUUAGCUAAUACCGCAUACGACCUGAGGGUGAAAGUGGGGGACCGCAAGGCCUCAUGCUAUAGGAGCGGCCGAUGUCUGAUUAGCUAGUUGGUGAGGUAAAGGCUCACCAAGGCGACGAUCAGUAGCUGGUCUGAGAGGACGAUCAGCCACACUGGGACUGAGACACGGCCCAGACUCCUACGGGAGGCAGCAGUGGGGAAUUUUGGACAAUGGGCGAAAGCCUGAUCCAGCAAUGCCGCGUGUGUGAAGAAGGCCUUCGGGUUGUAAAGCACUUUUGUCCGGAAAGAAAUGGCUCUGGUUAAUACCUGGGGUCGAUGACGGUACCGGAAGAAUAAGGACCGGCUAACUACGUG
rnacentral:rRNA from 1 species